ensembl:lncRNA MIR124-1HG MIR124-1 host gene
GAAUGGGGCUGGCUGAGCACCGUGGGUCGGCGAGGGCCCGCCAAGGAAGGAGCGACCGACCGAGCCAGGCGCCCUCCGCAGACCUCCGCGCAGCGGCCGCGGGCGCGAGGGGAGGGGUCUGGAGCUCCCUCCGGCUGCCUGUCCCGCACCGGAGCCCGUGGGGUGGGGAGGUGUGCAGCCUGUGACAGACAGGGGCUUAGAGAUGCAAACAGACUCAGGGAGAGAAACAGAAGCUGAUUCUGUGACAGAAGCAGAUCUGUGCAGCACAGAUGCGGUGUGCGUGGGGAGGGGGUCGCCUGGGAGCGCAUUGCGGAGUGCUUGUGUGUGCAGAUUUUUCUCUGGGCUCAGGACUCAUUGUAUGUGGGUCAACACCUUCCUCCGUGACUGUGUUUUUGUUCUGAGCUGAGUUUUUUGGUUUGCCCUUAAAAAAAUAAUAAUUUGGCAUCCAGAGACUGGCAGACUGCCUCAGGGCCUGGACUGCGGAUAUAUUGUGUUCUGCUUGAGGUUUGGGGAGGAGGGCAGGCGGUAGGAAGGGAGAGGGGGAGCUGUUUGUCACACUUUGCUGUAGAGCUGAGAGCACCUGACAAGCUUAAGGAAGUCGUUGGGCUAUGUGGACAAGAAGGAGCCAGCUCCCAGCGGGUUCACAAGCUCUAUCGGAGUUGAAAGCGUGGUCAUGGCUCUAAGGAGCACCUCACGCCCUCCCUGUAGCUGUUAUUGCAGUUUCAGGCAGAGAUCCAGGAGCUGCAGAGGAAGGGAGAGGCACAAUAACCUACAUGGACCCAAGGGAGACAUGUGUUCCUUUAAAAAUGUGAACAGAAGGAAAAACAGAAUGUGUGCAACUGGGGGUCUGAGGAAAGACUGUUUUGAAAGAGGCUGUCAGGGAAUGGAAAGGGUUAAGCUUUUCAUCCUGAAGAACCUGCUUCCCAAAUCAGGCCUUCCUCCCAUCACUAGACCCUGAGCAGCAGCUGGUCCUAGAGACCCCCCUCGUACUGCGCUGCCACAGUCUCAUCCCAUUUCCAGCUCUGUAUUAACCACCAAGCUGCAGCGGAUGGGGCAAGACCUAAGCUCAUUAAUUUCCAGGUGGAGGAAAUGGAGGAGGGGCAGGUCCCUGCAGUAGAGGGAGGAGCAGAGAAAGGAGGCCAAGAGCUGGAUCCUUCUGCCCAGGAAGCCUGCUGCAUCCCUUCCCCCGAGCAUGGCAGAGGCCUGGCUUUGCAAGGCCAAGGCCAUAAGGGAUGCUUAGGAGAUUAAUUUGAUUCCUGACACAAUAAUCAAGCCCUAAGAGUCUCCACUGAAGCUUACUGAGGACUUCUUUCCUCUCCAAAGCCUCAGUCUAGCCUGCUAAAUAAAUUAGUAUUCAGUGAUGCCUUGGAUCAGGGCCCCUCCCCGGCCUCAGUUUCCCCAAAUAUUUAUUAAGUACCUACUGUGUGCAAUCCUUGUGUAAUUAUUACCUCUUAGGCUCUUCAUUUGCCCUCCUAAAGCAGUGUUUAGAGUCAGGCAGAGGUUAAGUGUGUUGCACCUCACCUAGAUACUUCCAGAACCUUCUCUGGGUCUGCAGAAUGUGGCACAACCUGCUUGCCCCCGCAGAGAGAAAGCUGCAGUGCACAUCCUGCAGACUGCAGGUGCUGGGCUGCCUCUGGAGUCCCAGAAGGCAAGCUUGGCUGCAGGACAGAAAGGGAGAACAGCUUCUCUCACCCCUGAGCCUUCACAAGCCCUUGUCUAUUUGCCGUUGCCUUCAAAAUAUACCUCCCCCGAAACCAGUAGCUUUCUGAGUCCUGGUGUCCCCUCCGCCCUUUCUGGACAGGUUUGGGAAGAAGAAAGCAGUCAGUGCUGGGCCUUAUUGGGGUGUGAAGCGCCUUGCUCUGCCCCUUCUGCUCACUGUGAAGGCCGCUGGAUGCUUCUCUUAGGCAUGGUUUAAGCCUCCGAUUACUAAACCCCUUGCCCCACAAACGUCCACAUUGACGAGCCUCUUUUUAGUAACUGCUUCCCCGUAAUUCCUUCAGAGGUUGCUGUACCCUUCGCUGAUGUGCUGCCCUCCUGUAAAACCUCCAGAUGCCUUCCCACGUAAUGCCCCUUUCAGAUGCUUUAAGCUGAGAGCUUAAACCACAGGUACCAUGGCUGACGCCUGCCAGGUUUCUGCUGCAGAUAAUCUAUGAUGGGAGGGGCAUAUUUUUUACUUCAUUACUUAUGUAAACUCUUGUUCCAGAAAGCUUUAAUGUGUGUGGGAGUGUUCUGGGUCUAUUAGGUCUGUGCGCAUGGGUGUGGGCAUUUGCCUGUGUCCACCGGGUGGGUCUCAUUAUGAAAUGUAUGUUUAUGUAGGGCUUUAAUGGCUGAAAAUGGCAAAGAGAUGAAUAGACCACUUGGCCCCAUGUGUAAUUGCCAGGCCCCUUCUGUGCUCAAAUGAGGUGUCCGAGUGAAGGUCAGCCCUUCCCUUCUGUAUUUGGGGCCUAUUUAUGCCACCAGUAAUUUUAUAAGAAAUCUGAAUAGUUCUCCCCUUUGAGUGCAUUUAACUCUUUAGUAUCUUCUCUCUUACCUAUUUGAGCCCCUCUAGCUACAGUCUGGCUUAAAUGAAAGGGGAAUUAUAUGCUUAAGAAAAAGUAGGACACGGUUGAGGCAGUUUGCUGACUGAAUACGCGAAGAAGGACCUGAUGGGCUCAUAUGCACCACUGCCAUCACAGUCCCCAUCGUGAUGCAAGCUUAUAUGAUUCUUGAGAAACAGCCCAGAUCUCCUCUUAAGCGGAAAAGAGAUUGACCUUCUAGCAGAGGCAAAGGUAAACUCCUAAUGGAGUCUUCUGGGGGCAGCUGCAAAGCGUUCUCCCUAGGACAGAUGGAGCCUCCCUUUCCUCAUCUACUCUGUGGGUGGUUUCAGGGCCCACGAGUCAACAUGAGGAGUUGUGCUGGUGGUAUGUGUGUUGGAGGCUGGGCUGGCUGAUUCACAGUGACGAGGAUGUCAAUAAUAACAAGAAUGAGAAUGAUGAUACCUAAUAAAGACUUUUUUUCCCAA